CAUCUUUCUGUCAGCUAUUACUCACCGCUUCUCGUGCCUGGUGUGUGACUUUCAGAGUCUGGUAGGAAAGCUCCAUUAAGCGCUGUAUUAUGGGCAGGAGGAAGGAGAAAAGAAAACUGACCCUCACCCGACCACCCCAAGGUUGUUAAACAUUCACCAGCAUAUCUCUUGCCUACACAGCAGCAAUAAUGAAAAGGAGAGAAAAACUGAAAUCUACAGGAGUGAAUCUCUCCAUAUAACUGAAAGAGGGAACAACAGAUUUGGAAUACAAACCUACUAGAAUUAAGGACAUUCUGGAAAAAAGUUAAACAAAAACAAUAAUGCUGAAAGAUCACAUGAUCUCCAUACAAAUAAAAGCUAUUGACCAUGAAGAAAGUGUGCAGAAAGACAACUGAAGCACCAGAGGUCUCCCAAAGAACAUAAUGCAUUGAAAAACCUAUGCACCAUAAUGAACGAAGUAAUAUAAGGAGGUCUGAAUAUAAAAAGCAAAAAACUGAUCAAAACAAUUCAUGAUCAUCUUCAGAAAAAAUCUCCACACUUCUAACUACAAGACACCUAGUAGUUAAAUAUAACAAUUUAAAUUUCAAAUGACAUUCUGCAAGCAGCCAAGAGAAAGACAAGUAAUAUAAUGGAAAGGAAAUGUGCAUAACAGACUAUUCUGCAUCCACUAGAAACAGCAUAUAUUGAUAAAAGCAAAGCACUUCAAUAUACACACCAAAACUACAUUCUACAAACCUGAGCCUAAUCAAUGAAAAAGAUGGACAUUCAAUAAAAGUAAUACAUUUGAGGCUUUCCUGAAAGGGAAAACAAACAAACAAACAAACAAACAAAAAAACCAAAAACUCCCAAAGAACAACAAAAAAGUGAAAAUGUCUAAGAAUAAUUGACUUGGAAACAUCUCAAACAGAAACACAAGAAAGGUAAAUGAAAUUACCAAAGAAAAUAUAAGUGCCUAAUGAAAUAAAUUAUCCUAUUUCUAGAAAUAGUUUAAAAAAAACAAACUAGAAUAAGAAACUGACUUAGCAGGUGUUUAUGCGUGUUAAUUAUUCAACAUAAUAUAUGUAAUCUGUUUAUUUUUUAUCAGUUAUUUAGCCUCUCCAGUGACUCCAAUCUUCUUAAAUAACAUGUUGAUAACACAUACUUCAUAGGCAUUUAUGGAAUCUAUAGACUUUGACCAUUGUUAUCUCAUUGUGAAUCACUUUUUCCAAGAGAGUUUCCACCAUCCUCUGAUUUUUCUACUUAUGUCUUAAAG